GAGAGCUCAAGUUUCCUAAAACAUAGGGAAUUGAACCAACUAAUUGGUUUUUAGAGAGGUCAAGAUUAACAAGAGAGCUCAUGUUUCCUAAAACAUGGGGAAUUGAACCAACUAAUUGGUUGUAAGAGAGGUCAAGAUGAACAAGGCUGGCAUUGUAGUUUGACAACCAUACAAAUAUUGAAGAAGUAAGUUGGUUGG